rnacentral:tRNA from 1 species
GCUGGCGUCGUCUAAAUGGUAGGAUUUCAGGCUUGUACCCUGGUAGAUGGGCGUUAAAAUCGCUCCGUCAGCUCCA